AUUAGACGAAUCAUCUGGAAAGAUGAAUCAAAGAAGGUAAUAAUCCUGUAGUCGAAAAUGUUGUCUCUCUUGAGUGGAUCCUGAGUACGACGGAGCACGUGAAAUUCCGUCGGAAUCUGGGAGGACCAUCUCCUAAGGCUAAAUACUCUCUAGUGACCGAUAGUGAACCAGUACCGUGAGGGAAAGGUGAAAAGCACCCCGGAAGGGGAGUGAAAUAGAACCUGAAACCGUGUGCUUACAAGUAGUCAGAGCCCGUUAAUGGGUGAUGGCGUGCCUUUUGUAGAAUGAACCGGCGAGUUACGAUUUGAUGCAAGGUUAAGCAGUAAAUGUGGAGCCGUAGCGAAAGCGAGUCUGAAUAGGGCGUUUAGUAUUUGGUCGUAGACCCGAAACCAGGUGAUCUACCCUUGGUCAGGUUGAAGUUCAGGUAACACUGAAUGGAGGACCGAACCGACUUACGUUGAAAAGUGAGCGGAUGAACUGAGGGUAGCGGAGAAAUUCCAAUCGAACCUGGAGAUAGCUGGUUCUCUCCGAAAUAGCUUUAGGGCUAGCCUCAAGUGAUGAUUAUUGGAGGUAGAGCACUGUUUGGACGAGGGGCCCCUCUCGGGUUACCGAAUUCAGACAAACUCCGAAUGCCAAUUAAUUUAACUUGGGAGUCAGAACAUGGGUGAUAAGGUCCGUGUUCGAAAGGGAAACAGCCCAGACCACCAGCUAAGG
rnacentral:rRNA from 1 species